UACGGAGGAUCCAAGCGUUAUCCGGAUUUAUUGGGUUUAAAGGGUGCGCAGGCGGAAGAUUAAGUCGGCGGUGAAAUUUUGCAGCUCAACUGUAAAAGUGCCUUCGAAACUGGUUUUCUUGAGUGUGGAUGAAGUAGGCGGAAUUUGUGGUGUAGCGGUGAAAUGCAUAGAUAUCACGAGGAACUCCGAUUGCGAAGGCAGCUUACUAAACCAUAACUGACGCUCAGGCACGAAGGCGUGGGGAUCAAACAGG
rnacentral:rRNA from 1 species